GAUGAACGCUGACAGAAUGCUUAACACAUGCAAGUCUACUUGAACUUCGGUUUGGGUGGCGGACGGGUGAGUAACGCGUAAAGAACUUGCCUCACAGUUAGGGACAACAUUUGGAAACGAAUGCUAAUACCUGAUAUUAUGAUUUUAGGGCAUCCUAGGAUUAUGAAAGCUAUAUGUGCUGUGAGAGAGCUUUGCGUCCCAUUAGCUAGUUGGAGAGGUAACGGCUCACCAAGGCGAUGAUGGGUAGCCGGCCUGAGAGGGUGAACGGCCACAAGGGGACUGAGACACGGCCCUUACUCCUACGGGAGGCAGCAGUGGGGAAUAUUGGACAAUGGACCAAAAGACUGAUCCAGCAAUUCUGUGUGCACGAUGACGUUUUUCGGAAUGUAAAGUGCUUUCAGUUGGGAAGAAAAAAAUGACGGUACCAACAGAAGAAGUGACGGCUAAAUACGUG
rnacentral:rRNA from 1 species